rnacentral:lncRNA from 1 species
AAUAUCCUAUUUAUAACAACUAGCUUUUAAUGGCACGUCUCUCAUACGACCAGAGUCUGGUCCCGGACCGAAUAAUACGUCUCUCAUACGACCAGAGUUUGGUCCCGGACCGAAUAAUUAUCCUAUAGUUGUCAAUCUUACACUGUUCACAUUUCAAUGAAAUGGUAAAUUACACUUGCACCAUUAUAUUUUUACUAAAAUAUUACUUGGACCUUUCAUAUCAAUCAAGAAAAUUCGAUUCACAUAGAAGAUGGAGAUUGGGUGGUCAAUUUAAUCCCCAUAGGGAUUGAGGAGGGGAAUGCCUAUUGAUAGUGGUGGGAUUGGUUUCAAAUUUUUAGUUUGAUCCUAAAAUUUCAAGAACCGUAGGAUUCUAAUCAGUAUGUGAUUUUACUCAAAACUGAACAAUUCAAACUGUGGCCAUCCCUAGCAUAUACACGGACCCAUACACGAUUAUUUCUAAAAUUUAAUUGCUUCCAAGGAAAUUAGAGAUUCUUUCGCAAAGUUAAAGGGUAAGUGAAAGUUUUUCUUUGUUUGUCCGUUUGUUCUUUUCUUCAUAUUUGAUAAGAUAUUAUGGCUCAUAUCUGUUGAAUAGUUAGGUGACAAUAGCUGACGUUUGUAUUUGUUAUUCAUUUAAUGUGAAUAUCACAUAGACAAUACGACAUGAAGCUUUGUGAAUACCUAAUAAUUUCUCCAUUUUCAUAGUCUAAUACGUAAAUCAAACACGGCUCAAGAGACGACUUGAUCGAGGAGUCGCGAGGACGUCUCAUGUUCAUAACUCCUAGCUUUCAAUGGAAACGUUUAUCAUACGCCUAGACCCAAAAUUGUCGGUCUGCGUUGUUCAUUUUCCACUAAGAGUAAAUUACACUUUGCACCAUUAUAUUUUUAUGAAAAAUUCACUUUGAGCCUCCAUGUCAAUCAAUCACAUUUUAGAUUAAUUAUUAAUGUGACCUUGCUGUUCAUCCUCUAUAGUAAUAUAAAUUUUUAUUUAUUUUAUUUUAUAUUAUUUAAUAUAUAUUUUAUAUUAUUUACUAAUAAUAAACCUCAGACAAUCGUGCAUUAGUGGGGUUGAUUGCAACGAUUUAACAAGUUAAGUGGCGAUUUGAGAAAAUUUUUAAUUUGAGGAGCCAUAGAGGAAAUAGGUCAACAUUUUAAGGGGACAAAGUGUAAUUACCUUGUAAAAAUUGAUCAUGGUCCAAGUUUAGCUGCUCCAACACCACAAGCAUCUAAAGCUGAAAAAUAACUUUUUCAGAUAGUGUUUGUUUCUUCUCCUCUAUUUAGCUCUCCCUAAUUAAACUGGAAAAAUGGUAAUGGGCAAAGAAGAGAAUUUGAGCUGGGCUUUUCUUGUUCUUUUGGUUACCACUCUCCGAAUUGAUAAUUCUUUUCAAUUGAUUCAUGCCAAAUCUCCUGAGUAUUAUCCAGUCGCCGCCAAUCUUUCCACUUCAUGGACCAUCAACGACUCCUGUUACGUAUGCGACGAGUCUAAUGAUAUGAAACCCAUCCUUGUUAGAAGUCAUUUUUUUUGUGGCUUCUGGUGUGACAAAAGUAGCGGUGCCUGCCUUUUUGCUAUCCUCCUCUCCUCAGAUACAUAUGGACGAAACACACAACUCGUUUGGUCUGCUAACCGGGACAGUCCAGUUCGACAAAAUGCAACCUUACGAUUCACACAAUAUGGAGAUUUGAUCUUGGAAAAUGACGAUGGCAGCUUUGUCUGGUCUACAAACACAGGAGGGAAGUCUGUUUCUGGAGAAUUUUUGACCUGAAGAGGGAAUCUCGUGCUUAUAACCAAAGAAAUGAAAUAGUUUGGCAGUCUUUUGAUCAUCCAACAGACUCCUUACUUCUUGGGCAGAAAUUAGUUCGUGGGAACAAGUUAACUGCCAGCGCAUCAGCAUCAAACUGGAGUCGAGGUUUGUUUUCGCUUGCUCUUCGGUAUGCUGAUGGUUUGGUCGCGUACAUUGAAUCAGACCCAACCCAGUACUAUUUUAAACAAUAUUUUGAAGACUAUUCUAAUGUGCGGACUAUCCCAUAUAUCCGAUUUGAAAACGGAAGCUUUAAUAGCUUCUUAAUUCCCCCUGCAUCAGCAGCCCA